GGUCCGUCCGACGCGCGCACACAACCACACACACACACACACACACGCACACACACUCCGAGCUACACGACUCGAACACCCCGUCCCACCCCGUGCGUUUCUCGCGGGAACCUUCCGGAGACUGUCAGGCGAGGACGCGCUGACGGGUGCGGGUCCGGGGGACUGGGACAGGGACAGGGAGCGGACCGGAGGAAGACUGGAGAAGGGUUAGCGAGGCACCGGGCAGAGACGCUCCGACUCACAAUACCCUCCGGUCGUCUACCGGAGUUUUCCCCGGUCGUCUAACGGAGUGUCUCUCCGGUCGUCCUGGCGGCGGGCGGCGGCAGCCCCCCCGUGGCGCGACGAGGAGCCGUCUCAUGUCUCGCUCUCCGGGGGGUCUCCUCCACAUGGACUCGCCUACUAAGGAGAUCGAGGAUUUUGAGAGCAACUCGCUGAAGUACCUGCAGCCGGAGCAGAUCGAGAAGAUCUGGCUGAGACUGCGGGGACUGAGGAAGUACAAGAAGACAUCCCAAAGAUGAGUGAACACAGAGCAGUGUUCUGAUGCUGCACAGAGACCAGAUGGGGGAAGAAGGGCAUUGAGCGUCUAGUGGGUUCAAAACAGACGGAACUGAACUCCAGAAACUUUAUUGUCCACCAAAGUGAAAAGAUUAAGUUUCCCGUUAGAUUAACUGGAUGAUUAAUUUCUAACAUUUAUUUUGCCUUUGUGUAUGAAAUGCCGUUCCACAGAUAGUGGUGUAGAGAUGUUGCUUUGGAAUGGGGCCGAAUAAUGAAGAAUAUGGAGAAUUCUGGCCAGUCAUAAUUUCUAGUCCCUAAGGUCUCAUACUGUGGUUACAACUGAGGACCUCAGGGAGGCCUCGGAGGACACACAGUUAUUUAUUAUUUCCUUCACAUCUUAGGGGCAGUGUUGCAUGGUUUCCUCACAAUACAAAGAUCAACAGAGACAGUGAAACAAGGGAA